rnacentral:lncRNA from 1 species
UGUCUGAUAAAUACUUAAAAGACCACAUUCUUCUUCUAGUUAGUAAAUGAAAAAUCACUGGUGAGGUCUCACAAUAGAAACAGUAUGAGAUAAACCACUGUUAAAAUUCCAGCUUACUUCAAAUAUUAUAGCCAAAGCCAAAAGAAGAAUCAGCAUGUCAAAAAGAGACCGUGAAUAGUGAUGAGAGAUGAAAGACAUGUCUAAAAAAUAUGUAAUGAAUAACUCCCUUUGACUGAUAAUGUAGAUAUUAUUAGUGAAGGCAACAUUCAAGGAAAGAGAAAAAGACGGUCCUGAUUCACAUGUUUAAGCUAAUUGGAGUAAGUAUUAUUGUUGGUCUCGUUUCUAAGGAACAGAAGUAUUGGGUGUUUGGGGUUAUCUGUUCAGAUUAGAAUUUCAAU